rnacentral:tRNA from 1 species
CGCGGGGUGGAGCGGUUUGGUAGCUCGUCGGGCUCAUAACCCGAAGGUCGUUGGUUCAAAUCCAGCCCCCGCAACCA